rnacentral:rRNA from 2 species
UACGUUGUCUGCUAUACGCAGGAAGACCC